CACUUCUUGAGAGAGAGAAGAGACUGCAUCUAUAGAUUCAGAAUAUACAUGUCACUGAUGCAAAGUAUUUUUCUUGAAUUCCUCCUUCAAAAUGUGACUCCUUCAGUCCUAAAAUCCCAAAGUCCAAGAGCAAAUAGGUUUGCUCCCUCAUGCUUGUGUGCACAGUUCAGAAGAUCACUGUGCAAAACAGAACCUCUCAAAGCAGGUUCUGUGGACCAAGUGGAGACAGAUCAUCUGGACCAACUAGCUGGCUCUGCUCUUCGUCUCUGGCUGCUGCCUGUGAAUUGAAAGAUCAGAGACUCUUUCAUACGGCUAUUCCAGAUUUAUACCAGAGUAAAAAAGAAAACAAUGAACCUCUAGACUAAUAACACAGGGGAGUAAUACUUGAAGACCAAAGUGCAGCAAGCAGACCUUCAGAAUCCUCAAGCAUGAAAAGUGGUUCCUUCAUGGCUCUUGGCGACAGAUUCAUGGAAACACACAGGUGCUGCAGAACCUAUGCUCUCCCAGGUGAGCCAUCACCGUAGAGGAAAGACACUGCUCCCCGCGCCUCAUCGUGUUGCGUUUCCAAAGAAGCCUCCCUAUGGCACAGGGCUGGUGCCGACAGAAAAAGGACCAGAGCUUCACCUCGUACACUUACACCCGUGCUCACAUCCUCACAGAGCAAGAGACCAUCGCCCAAGCAAAAAGGCUUUCUGCACGAGAACUUCCGAGCACAGUCUCCCAGCAAGGUGGUGCUACGUGGCAUAAGCUACAGUUUAAUCUACCCAAUGCAGGCCAGAACUUGAAAGAGAACUUUUAGGGCACUGAACUGUAUUGUUUAGACCUGGUUUUGAGUGGCACAUUUCAAUGAAUGUCUCUUGCUACUAGGAGACAAGUGCAGGGAAUACAACUAUGACAAUAGCUUUGCGAAUUAUUAAAGACCUUUCUUUAUCCCAGCUGAAGAAACAAAUGAUUCCCAGACCAAAGAGCACGCAGUUCCUCUCCUAGCAGCAGUGGGCUUCUCUCACAGGGAGAACAUUUUUAUUAGUUUUUCAAAGGGCCUGGUAUAAUACUGCAGUGCUUACCUCUAAUGUGCUGUAAAAAGACUUGAACUGCUGCUAGCAGGAGGGCUGUGAAGGGACUUCUGAGGCACUGACAGGCCUUCAAUUGACUUUACUAGCAGCUUUUACACAUCUUUUUGGAGCUCCAUUAAAACAGUUUAUUUAGUGUUAUUCCAAUUGCUUUCAUUAAAGACUUGUUUUGUGCUGUUCCAGUUGGAGUGCUCUCUCGUUCUGGUACUUCUCUAUGGUUUCUGACUGGGAUGCAAAAGCUACCGCAGUUACCCUAUGGACUGUGGACUGCUCAGUUUUUGCAUAAGUCCCUUAUCUUCACAUACUUUGAAGUACUUGUUCUUUGCAUGCAAAUCAUUCCUACCCAAAAAUUAAAUCUGAAUUGCUGCAGCAAUGCUGGAAAGGCAGUUAUGAAUAAAGGAUGCAUUUUAUGAGACUUCAGUAUGCACAGGCUAUGGAUCUGCUUUACUCAAAGAGAGAGUCAACUCUGGUAAAAACAAGCCAAAACUGUGGGACAGUUAGGACAGAGUCAAGUUUAACAUGGGGCCUUCUGCUCUCGAAGGAGGUUGUUCAGUGAAAAAGGGGUAGCAAUGGGCUGCCCUGAGCCCUCCCUAAUUUCAUUAUCACCUGGCACGUUACCCUGCAAGUGCCGGGGCUGACAUUCAGCCACCUGUCUAGCAUGGGCAGAGCUGCUUCUCCUGGAAAAGCCAGCUCUGAAAUUACUCCCUAUCUGGGUUGCUUCCACUUGGGAUCUGCAAACUUAACAUUUGUUCUAGUAAUUUCUCCCCAUCUUUCCCAGCCCCCCCUUUCUUCCUUUUUAAAUGAAAGCAAGCAUUUACUUGAAGAAAGGAAAGGCCUUUAAACAUCUGAAAUAGCUCUGUGCUAGAUUUCCACUAGAAAGCUACAGAACUUCCUUGGAAGUUUCCUACAGCACAGCUCCCAUGUUCAUAACUCAUAAAAGUUUCACAUGUUUAGGCUUUCAUGUUCUCUGAGCACAAGCUGGGUUUUUUUCCUUCUUUUUAAUUAAAUCACUCAAGGCUCAUGAACCUAAAGAAUCAGGACAACUUUUCUUUCUCCAAAAUUGUGUGUGUGUAUCUUUAUAUAGAACAAGGAACUUGU